rnacentral:tRNA from 1 species
ACCUGGCUGGGUCAGUUGGUAGAGUAUGUGACUCUUGAUCUCAGGUUUGUGAGUUCAAGCCUCACCUUAGGUG